rnacentral:rRNA from 1 species
GACUACUGGGGUAUCUAAGCCUGUUUGCUACCCUAGCUUUCGUACCUCAGCGUCAGUAUUUGGCCAGGAGACUGCUUUCGCCAUCGGUGUUCCUCCUGAUAUCUACGCAUUUCACCGCUACACCAGGAAUUCCGUCUCCCCCUCCAACACUCAAGCUAUACAGUAUCUAUGUCCCUUCCCAGUUGAGCCAGGAAAUUUCACCAUAGACUUAUACAACCGCCUACAUACGCUUUACGCCUAGUAAUUCCGAGUAACGCUCGCCACCUACGUAUUACCGCGGCUGCUGGCACGUAGUUAGCCGUGGCUUUUUCUGAGGGUACCGUCAAUUUAUUCGUCCCCUCCAAAAGAAGUUUACAACCCGAAGGCCUUCAUCCUUCACGCGGCGUCGCUGGAUCAGGGUUUCCCCCAUUGUCCAAAAUUCCCCACUGCAGCCACCCGUAGG